GACGAACGCUGGCGGCGUGCCUAAUACAUGCAAGUAGAACGCACAGUUUAUACCGUAGCUUGCUACACCAUAGACUGUGAGUUGCGAACGGGUGAGUAACGUGUAGGUAACCUGCCUGGUAGCGGGGGAUAACUAUUGGAAACGAUAGCUAAUACCGCAUAAUAUUAAUUAUUGCAUGAUAAUUGAUUGAAAGAUGCAACUGCAUCACUACCAGAUGGACCUGCGUUGUAUUAGCUAGUAGGUGAGGUAACGGCUCACCUAGGCGACGAUACAUAGCCGACCUGAGAGGGUGAUCGGCCACACUGGGACUGAGACACGGCCCAGACUCCUACGGGAGGCAGCAGUAGGGAAUCUUCGGCAAUGGACGAAAGUCUGACCGAGCAACGCCGCGUGAGUGAAGAAGGUUUUCGGAUCGUAAAGCUCUGUUGUAAGAGAAGAACGGGUGUGAGAGUGGAAAGUUCACACUGUGACGGUAGCUUACCAGAAAGGGACGGCUAACUACGUG
rnacentral:rRNA from 1 species